AAUAUGAACGAUUUAAAUUUUUGAAAUAAUCCUGAAAUAAGUUCAUAUUUGAUUGCUAAUAUAGCAUGACUGUGGUAAGUAUACUUCGCAGGUUGAACGUGAGAAGUCUGAAUUAACUAAACUCGCGCUUUCCGAAGGCGGCUUUACUUCGGCAUAUUCGUCGACCUUCAAAUCAAAGGCUUUAUCAUCACCGCCACACACUGCACCUCGCCGGCGAAUAAGCUCGCUUUUCAUCACCACAAGCUUCUAAUCAAAGGCUUUAGUUUUGUCUGGCAUAUAAACUCGCCGCCAUUGAAGCAUUUCUGUUCCUCUCUCAGCUAUUGGGUGUUUUGUUUAACUUCUGUAGCUGCUAAAGUUAGAGAAUUGUUGUGGGAUGGAGGGUGCAGAGGAUGCGGUAAGGAAUGCGCAGGUGGUAGACGCCAGGCCAGAAACAUCAGUCACAAUGUCCGGUGCACUGAGUGUGGCAGUCAGUCCAUUGAAGAUUCACAAGCAGAUAUUGCCAUUCACCUCAGGAAGGCUUUUCAUCACCACACACUGCACCUUGCCGGCGAAGGGGAAAUCCACGGCACUCACCGCCUAUCAUCUUCUACUCUGGAUUCUUAAUUCUCCAUUUCCAAGCAUUUCCCCAACGAAAUCCAUUGCAAAUUGUUCAAGCUUCUCCACUGUAUAUCCAAUCACUUCACGCGGCCAAACGCAAAUCUCUCUCUCUCUCUCUCUCUCUGAAUAUUGUUCUUAAUUGAGUGUUUCAGGUUUUAGUUUUGGGGAAUUUCCCAGUUGGGUCAUGUUGUUGGAAUAUCAAUAGAGCAUUUCAAUUUCCAAGCAAUUCAACUCUACCUUUUUUAUUGGGUAUUCAUUUUCUAUUCAACUAGUAUUUUUUACCCCUUGCAUCCAAAAUGUAGUUUGUCAUUGCCAGCUCGUGUUGGCUUUUUAGGUCUUGGAAUUGUGGGUUCACCGAUGGUCUUGAAAGGUGUGUUGGUUUGUUCAAUCAAUGGAAGAUAGGAAAAUAAGGAUCCUUCUGGAUGGAUGUAGAUUCCAGACCAAGAGAUUUAACAUAUAAUCUAUAAUUCAAUGAGAGUAUCUCAAAUUUGGAUUUGAUAACUUGGAUUUCGAGACUGAGUUCGUUAGCUUUUAAUAUCAUGGAUUUGGAAUAACAAUUUUGCCAGGCGUGAUUUGAAAUAGGCGGCAGUUAAGGAUUUUGGCUAUAUAAGGAACAUAUUGGCUUGUAGGCUUAUAGCUAACCCUCUCACAUUCAGUACGGUUUGUUUAGGAUUUGAGUAUCUUGAUAAAUUUGGGCACUGAUUACAUCUUAUUUGUGUUCCUUUUAUUUUGGUUAGUCUACGCUUGAAAGGAGAAACUCUUUUACUGCUCCAGCCAACUAAUCUUAAUGCGCUUGCAUAUAAGGCAAAAUUUUGUCUAGCGCUGACUUAAUUUUGCAAGAGUUACACCAUUGACUUCCUUGUUGUGGUUAAUAGCACAGGAGAAAAAGAUAUAGGCUCCUGGGAUGUUGGUCCUGUAUUCUUGUUCUCAAUACUCUAUUCUUGAAACUGUUGGUCAGAUUUACACAACUAAGGCUUGUCUCCUUUUUCGUUGGCUCAAAAUGAUCCAUUUGAAGCCUCUUUCUUUGGCUUGAAUUUCAGUACUGUUUUCUUAGUUCGCUCCAGUCUUUUGCACAAGUAGUUAUGUCCUUUACACGGUUGUUAGGCAUUUUCUGUUUGAUACAGUGGCUCCACUUUUAAAUAUUUCGGGGAAGGUACAUUGUUUUCGUGUAUGUUGUGUUUUGCCAUCUCCUUCCCCUCAGUUCAUCUCACAGAUCAUACAUUUUAACCUGGGUUAGUUGCUCCAUGUAUCCAUACGGCCCACCUAUGUAUAAUCUGAGACUCUCGAACUUUGGAGGAACAGGAGAUACCACAGGCAGCUAGAUAGAUGGUGCUUUUGUUUGUCUUCUUUCUCUAUGUUAUUUAAUGAUCUCCUCUUAUAGCAUCCCCUUUGUAUCACUCCAGUCGAGGUUUUCUUUGGAGACGUGGGGAAUGGAGCUGUAAUGAAACUUGUUGUGAACAUGAUCAUGGGAAGGACUUGUGGCUUGCUCUGGGAUUAGCCAAAUCUGUUUCCCCACCUACACCAAAUGCAGCCGCAGCGAACAAACUAUACAAAGGUGGCUAAAUCUCAUGGCCUUGGUGACGAGGACUUCUUCCAGCAAACAAAUUAUGGGGUUUAAACAUUGCGGCAAAAUAUUUGUUUUUUUCGUUUUGAAAUUGAUUCACAGGUUUCUUCCUGUCAUGACCACUCUUCAUCGAAGACGGAUUCAAGUGGAUGUGAUUUGUCCACGAUGUAAACAAGAGGAGGAAACCAUGGAACACGUGUGCUUUGGGUGUGAAUUUUCAACCAGGAUUUGGCAGCAAACCCAAGUGGAUUCCUCCUCCUUCUCUUCUCGGCAUUGUUUACUUUUGGAUUGGUUUCUAGAAUGGAUGAUGGCAGCAAGGAUGAUGAUGUCAUAAUUACAGUCAGUGAUGUGGGUAAUUUGGAUGCAAUGGAAUCGAGCUUUAUUCGAGGGGUCUUUGACCUUGGUGGACUCGUCUUGCUCUGUUUCAUGAGAUGGAUGAUUCCUUGAGCACAGGUAGGCGGUAUGCAACUCAUGGAAUCCGAAAAUUUCACAAUGGGCAACAUGCCGCGUCUACGCAUACGAAUAUAGAGAGGACCAGUUUUUCUUUACCAAACCAAAUGGAUUUCGGUCAGAUAACCAUGGUCCAUGGAAGGUGUCACAGAGGUGUUGUGAGCUUGGAAUAUAAAGGAUACCAUGACAUGUUGAAUUGUCUACACUAUACAAUGGUUUAGAUUGAUCUUAACCGGAUGAUUAUGUCAUGAUUUUAACGUCAAAGUAGUUGCCAGGCGAUUCCAAAUUACGAUCAUUCUGGUAUUGGAUGAGUGCUAAUGGAGGAGCAGGGGGAAUUAGUGGAGCAACAAGACAGAAGUACCCUCGCUUCUUCUGCCGUUCACGCCGAAUGUCUGGCUUGCUUGGGUGCGAUGAUAUGGUGUUUUGAUCGCCAUUUUCGUCAUAUCACAGUUGCUACUGAUUGCAGUUCGAUGGUGGAUGAAACACCGGAAGAAAAAGAGAAUAUAUUUUUUCUAGUUGGAUCAAUGAAUUGGAUGAAUCAUAUGUGAAACUUAUUUAAAUAUGCUUACUUUUGUUGAUAGAUAUUGUUGGGGUAAUACAAGGUCGUUGGUUGUGGUUUCUUGAAGAUUAUGUUGCGAAGGGCCUUUAGGCACGGCCAUGUAUGAAAGUAACUUGUGUUCACAGUUUUCAAAAUUUUAAUGCGCAUUGAUGAUGUACUCCUUUUAAAAGGCUUGUUUCAAUCUUAAA